UUCUUGGAGCAACAAGUUUUGUCGCUCAAUACCAAAAGAGGCUAGAAAAACAUGAUGAAGCAGUUUCUCUCCCCAGCUCUUCUUCUGCUGAUCUUCUUCCUUCUCUGCUCCACAACUUCUGGUCAGUCUUCUGGACCAGCUGCAGCACCUUCAGCUCCCACCACAACCUCUGGUCAGUCUUCACCACCAGCUCUAGCACCUUCAUCAGUUCCUUUAGUUCCUUCUGGUCCCUCAGGUUCCGUCGAGAUUACUGCAGUCCUCAAAAAGGCCCGUAAGUUUAGUACCUUCAUUGGGCUACUAAAGAGCACCCAGAUGGAUGCUGAAAUCAACACCCGACUCAAGAAAUCGAACCAGGGCAUCACAGUAUUUGCACCAACCGAUAAUGCCUUUUCAGACCUCCAAACGGGUACUUUGAACACAUUCACUGAUCAGCAGAAGACUGAGCUGGCCCGAUUCCACAUAAUACCUUCUUUCAUCAGUAUGUCGCAGUUCGAAACUGUGAGCAACCCGCUGCAUACAGCGGUAGACGGUGAUACUGUGGGGUUCCCACUGAAUGUCGUAGGGAACGGAACUCAGGUGAACAUGACAACAGGGGUUGUGAAUACAACGGUGGACAGCACAGUAUACAGUGAUGGUCAGCUUGCUGUGUAUGAGAUCCCCCAGGUUCUCCUUUCACAAGGUAUCCUAAGGCCUCAAGCGCCAGCACCAGCUCCUCUACCUCCAAAGCCUAAGAAGGCUACUCCUCUUAGUACACAGGCUCCUUCAACGCCCACCACCGUUUCCGUUCAUUCUUCUGGUGCGACGGGUCUCCCCCGCUACGCGCCAACCGUGGUAUCCAUCGGAGUGGCUGUUCUCGCGGCACUGCCCUUAUGCCUGUGAAUUGAUCAGUGUUGGUGAAUGAUGACGGUGUGAUUUGCGUAGUCUGCUUGUGUUAUGAUUUAAGCUUCAUCAAAUUAUUAAGAUAUCUUUGUGCUCAAAUUAGAAAAAAAUGACAUAAUAAGAAGGUUACUUUUUGUUACAUGUAAAAAAUAUAGGCCAAAUAUGUUCUCCUAUCACCCUAUUCGGUUUAGCUGUUAGGCAGAUGUCUCACGGAACACUUGAAAGUUGAAAGUUGAAAGUUGAAACCGACUCAUGGAAAAGGAAAAUUUAACGGAAGUGCAUAAAGGCCUGCAAUUAUAAUGUCCAAUUAAUGUGACAGAUGGUUUAGUUUACUUGUGAAAACUAGACCACCUGAAAGCAACUUUGAGUCGGUGUUUGGGCCCCAGAGCAACUAGGAAUGUAAUAAGUACCAGCAAAUACUUCACAUUGCGAACUCCCAUAGCCAUUUCGACUUUCCUUGAUGCCACUGCCAAACUGCAUGCACAACACAAACUCUGGAUUCCGGUUGCACUGAUUUUACACACACAUACACACUUUUACAUAUAUAAUAUUUUUUAUUUUUUAAAAUAGAAACUAAUAAAAAAUAUUACAUAUAAAUUACUGAAACUUACUUUAAAAAGUAAUAGUUUUUCAAACCAAUUUUGGAAAACAAUUUUUUUGAUAUUUUAUAGGAUAAGAGCUUUUUUAACGACUUGAAAUAUUUUUAAUGUGUUUUCCAUGCUUUAAAAAUAAUUUUUACUUAUAAUGUUUUAUUUUUAAUUAUUUUUUAUAUUUAUAUAAUUUCAAAAGUCCUAAGAAAAUAAAUUAAAACAAUUAAUUAAAAAUGAUUAAAAAAUGUUUUAUGAAAAUAUCUUAUAUUUUGUUUUUAAAAACAAAAAAAUAUUUCCAUUUUUCAUCAGCAAACAUAAUUUUGUUUUUUUUGUUUUUUUAGUCCUAUAUAUUUUUGUACAAAAAUAGUUAUAUAUUUUUAUUUUUAUUUUUAAAAAUAAAAAUGCAGAAAUGUGUUAAAUUUUUUUUUAAUUAUGUUUACCUCCCAAAGUAAUGUAAUUCAUAAGCAUCCAAUAAUCAAAUAAGGUUGUCAUCCAUAUAAGAAAAAUAAAAAUCUAAUGAGAUUAUUGAGGCAAAAGGGACCCGUCUUACAGUGUUGUUUUUAAUUGGGAUUUAAAAAAAAUCAUAAUGCAGAGUGCAUUUUCACAUCCCACUUCUAGGGCUAUAUAAGUAGCAUAGAAUUUUUGUAUGAGGUAACAAGCAAGUUGCAAUCUUAUAAGAGCCCUAAAUUGCUAUGCACCUUUUGGUGGGCAAUUGAAACAACAUAUGUAAUUAAUCAUAUACAAAAGAUUCUUAAUUAAAAAUGAUAUAGCCUAGAACUACCCAGUGAGCAAAACAAACUAAAAACCAAAUUUAUCGGAUGCAGAAACAGAUUGAAACAUUUGAUUUCGAAACAAGAAAAAUACUAAGAGAUAAAUUAAAAUUGUAUUUAGAACAAAUUGAAAGUUGAAGAUAAAGGGGAGGUGUCAAUUGCCAAGAGCAAUGCAAUGGGCCAAAAAAGAGAGAAAAGUCCCGAUUGAGGAUGAAUAUGGUGAGACCCAGGCUGUUCAUGCUACAACUUUCUUUGCGGCUUUGAGGAACUAUCAAAAAGGACCUGAAUCAUUGUCCCACGCAGUUGAAUAACAUAUCCUGCUGUUUUUCCUGCUUUACUAAGCAAACUUGCAGAUAUUUUAACAUCAUCAACACUCCACCUGCGUCUUCCUCUACCUUUUACAAAGAGAGAUGGGAUAUUGAGGUUCUCUUGCCAACAUUAAAUGCAGCCUUUCACCAAACUCCAUGCUCACUUCCCAUCUCACUCCCCUCAAUAUAUUAAAACCCCCACUCCCUUCCAUACCCAUUCAGAACAACUCUUCUCCACUGCUCUCUUAUAGUAACUAGUUUUUUUCACUCCAUACCAAAAGAGCCUAGAAAAAAAAAUGAUGAAGCAGUUGCUCUCCCCAGCACUUCUUGUUCUGAUCUUCUUCCUCCUCUGCACCACAACUUCUGGUCAGUCUUCAGCACCAGCUGCGGCACCUUCUGGUCCUUCAGUUUCCUCAGGCUCUUCAUCAGGUCCUCCCGACAUCACUGCAAUUCUCAGAAAAGCUGGUAAGUUUACUACCUUCAUUGGGCUACUAAAGAGCACCCAG
rnacentral:lncRNA from 1 species